rnacentral:rRNA from 1 species
AGAUGGCGACCGGCGCACGGGUGAGUAACACGUAUCCAACCUGCCGAUAACUCGGGGAUAGCCUUUCGAAAGAAAGAUUAAUACCCGAUGGCAUAAUAGAACCGCAUGGUUUGAUUAUUAAAGAAUUUCGGUUAUCGAUGGGGAUGCGUUCCAUUAGGCAGUUGGUGGGGUAACGGCCCACCAAGACUACGAUGGAUAGGGGUUCUGAGAGGAAGGUCCCCCACAUUGGAACUGAGACACGGCCCAGACUCCUACGGGAGGCAGCAUG